rnacentral:pre_miRNA from 1 species
UAUAUAUUCCCUCUGUCCGGAAAUACUUGUCAUCAAAAUGGAUAAAAAAAGAUGUAUCUAGAACUAAAAUACGUCUAAAUACAUCCCUUUUAUCUAUUUUAAUGACAAGUAUUUUCGGACGGAGAGAGUACUAC